GGGGAUGUAGUUUAGUAGUUGAGUACUUGCCUAGCAUGCUAGAGGCCCUGGGUUCAAUUCCCAGUACCA
rnacentral:tRNA from 1 species